UUUAUAUCUAUCAAAAAGUGGACUGCUGGGGAUACUAUAGCUCUAAGAAAUGAAAUUUAGCAUCCUAAGAGAGUGGGUUAAGGUAAUCCUAAGAUGAAGGUCUAAGUUGGCUAGAUGGAGAAGGUGGUCUAGUAUCUCCAAAUAACUGGCCCCAAAUAUCAACCCUCACUGAAGUGAUAGCCUGAAUCAUUCUCAUAGUCUCCUCUUUGAUAAAAAAUAAUGCCUACAU
rnacentral:lncRNA from 1 species